rfam:Homo sapiens chromosome 11, GRCh38 reference primary assembly.
AUCCUUUUGUAGUUCAUGGGCAUGAUGUUUGGGUGUUCACGCAUGUGUGUGAGACAUGCCACCCUCUGAACCUUGUUACAAUCUCAGCAUAUUACCCGUCUAACC